CUUGAUUCGCUAUGCAAUAUAGGUGUAUGUGUGAUUAACUGUUAUUGCUAUUCUUAGUGGAACUUUAUCCAAGCAAGCUGUUUUCCAACAUGGAAAGAUCCCACUAUUGUAGGCAAGGCCUCUGUGAAUCCAGUUUCUGCCAAAUGGUCUUAUUCCACUCUUUGUUUUCCACUCUUUCAAAAUGUUGCAACUGCAGAUUGUUUGGUGCUAAAUGGGGUAAAAGUGUUUGCAAGUA
rnacentral:lncRNA from 1 species